rnacentral:rRNA from 1 species
GCGCAACCCUUGUCCUUAGUUAGAUGAUCUAAGGAGACUGCCCGAGUAAUUGGGAGGAAGGUGGGGACGACGUCAAAUCAUCAUGCCUCUUACGAGCGGGGCAACACACGUGCUACAAUGGACGGUACAAAGAGAAGCAAGACAGCGAUGUGGAGCAAAUCUCAAAAAACCGUUCUCAGUUCGGAUUGUAGUCUGCAACUCGACUACAUGAAGUCGGAAUCGCUAGUAAUCGUAGAUCAGCUACGCUACGGUGAAUACGUUCUCGGGUCUUGUACACACCGCCCGUCACACCAUGGGAGCUGGUAAUGCCCGAAGUCGGUUUUGUUAACCACGGAGACAACUGCCUAAGGCAGGACUGGUGACUGGGGUGAAGUCGUAACAAGGUAUCCCUACGAGAACGUGGGGAUGGAUUACCUCCUUUCUACGGA